UGUUGAUGAUGUGAAACACUC
ensembl:piRNA 21ur-1845 ncRNA